rnacentral:tRNA from 1 species
GGAAGUUAUUGGGCGGUCGCUGCUAAGCAUAGUUGGAAUAUUUAUUGUAUUCAACUUUCU